GGAUUAGAUACCCUGGUAGUCCACGCCGUAAACGAUGUCUACUAGCCGUUGGAGUCCUUGAGGCUUUGGUGGCGCAGCUAACGCACUAAGUAGACCGCCUGGGGAGUACGGCCGCAAGGUUAAAACUCAAAUGAAUUGACGGGGGCCCGCACAAGCGGUGGAGCAUGUGGUUUAAUUCGAUACGCGAGGAACCUUACCUGGGCUCGAACGCUACCGGCUAGCAGUUGAAAGGCUGUUUUCCUUCGGGACUGGUAGUGAGGUGCUGCAUGGUUGUCGUCAGCUCGUGUUG
rnacentral:rRNA from 1 species